rnacentral:tRNA from 1 species
GCGGGAGUAACUCAAAGGUAGAGUGUAACCUUGCCAAGGUUAAAAUACGAGUUCGAAUCUCGUCUUCCGCU